rnacentral:lncRNA from 10 species
GUCUGUGGCGCCUGCAGCUGCCUGCAUGUCCAUCUGUGUCCACAUCUGCCUUUGAGCCUCAUCUUCCUGGCCCCACGGUUUUCUCAUGCUGUGACCCAAAAGCCAAGCAUUCCAGGGUGUUCUGCUGAAAUUGAGUUGUGAGCGUGUCUCUCUCCUCGCUCCAGUCUGAAGGAGAAGCGUGGUCGGUAGAUAGACGUCUCAGACCUUCGUGUUUUCUUCACGUCUGUCUGUUGGCAGGUCCUUACACUAUUGUGGUUGCUUUAGCAACUUAGCUGUUGUCGACUUAAUGUGUUUCAUGACGUUCUGCAGCAAGGAAGAAGGUCCGAGUUUCCACUCUCAAUCAGGCACCUUCGUUCCCCUCCCCCCUCACUUGACUUCCUGUGGGGUGUGUGGUGUCUGCACUUAUAGAUGAGAAUGCUGAGGCCUCAGGAGGGCAAGGGACUCGCCCACGGUCACGGAACCCUAAGUCAGGGGUGGAGAAGGACCCCCUGACGCCAGCCCAC